CGCCUGUUUAACAAAAACAUGUCCUUUAGUUUUUUUUUAAGGUCUAGCCUGCUCAAUGAUGUUAAUUUAAAUAGCCGCGGUAUUUUGACUGUGCUAAGGUAGCAUAAUAAUUAGUCUUUUAAUUGAGGUCUGGAAUGAAUGGUUAAACGAGAUAUGAACUUUAUUUAAUUUAUUUUUUUGAAUUUGUUUUUUUAGUUAAAAUUCUAAAAUGUUUAAGUGGGACGACAAGACCCUAUAGAUCUUUAAAUAGGUUUAUUUUAUUUUUUUUUUGUUGUUUUUUAAUUAAUAUUAAUCUUUUUUUUGUUGGGGUGAUAGUUAAAAUUUUUAACUUUAAUUUUUUUUUUCAUUUAUUUAUGAAUUUUUGAUCUUUUUUUGAUGAUUAAAAGAUAAAGAUACCUUAGGGAUAACAGCGUAAUAUAAUUGGAUAGUUCAAAUUGAUAAUUAUGUUUGCGACCUCGAUGUUGGAUUAAAUUUUAUUUGUGGGGCAGUUUUUACAAUUUUAGGUCUGUUCGACUUUAAAAAUUUACAUGAUCUGAGUUCAGACCGG
rnacentral:rRNA from 1 species